GACGAACGCUGGCGGCGUGCUUAACACAUGCAAGUCGAACGGAAAGGCCCUGCGUUUGUGCGGUUCUCGAGGGCCGAACGGGGGAGUAACACGUGAGUAACCUGCCCUUGACUUUGGGAGAACUUCAGGAAACUGGACUUAAUAUCGUAUAGGAUCUCCUCCUGCAUGGUGGGGGGUGGAAAUUUUAGGCUGUUGGGGAUGGACGCGCGGCUGAUCAGCUUGUUGGUUGGGUAGUGGCUUACCAAGGCUGUGAAGGGUAGCCGGCCUGGGAGGGUGAACGGCGACAUUGGGACUGAGGUACGGCCCAGAGUGGUACGUGAGGCAGUAGUGGGAAAUCUUGCACAAUGGGAGGGAGUCUGAUGAAGAAACGCCGCGUGCGGAAAGACGGUUUUCGGGUAGUAAAAAGCUUCAGCCUGUGACGCCGCGUGAGUGACGGUAAUGAGCAAAGAAGCACCGGCUAACUACGUG
rnacentral:rRNA from 1 species